rnacentral:rRNA from 1 species
AUAUGCCUACAAAAUAGCAUUAAUGCAUCGGAUCCCAUUAGAAAUCCACAGUUAAGCACGUUUAGGCUAGAGUAGUACUCGGAUUGGUGACCUCCUGGGAAGUCCUAGUGUUUUACAUGCC